UACGUAGGGGGCAAGCGUUGUCCGGAAUCAUUGGGCGUAAAGCGCGUGUAGGCGGCUUUGUAAGUCCGUUCUGAAAGCCCGGGGCUCAACCCCGGGAGGCGGAUGGAUACUGCAAGGCUCGAGUCCGGAAGAGGCGAGUGGAAUUCCCGGUGUAGCGGUGAAAUGCGCAGAUAUCGGGAGGAACACCAAUGGCGAAGGCAGCUCGCUGGGGCGGUACUGACGCUGAGACGCGAAAGCGUGGGGAGCAAACAGG
rnacentral:rRNA from 1 species